GAAGCCACCCUUCCCAUGGUGCACUGCGAACAAAGAUGGCUUCCGUGGUGAAGUAAUCUGCGUUCGUGGACAAAUUUCCUCGAAUUUUCACGACUUUUUCGGACUUUACCAACAAUUUUGGGAUGUGGAGAUGUCGGAGGAAAAGGGCCGAUGUCGCUGAGCUCAAAGAAAGGGAAGAUUCGUGGUAAGAAGAAGGGGCUUUCGAAGAGGAAAGGAAGCACAGGUAGCAGUGGUAGCCAUGGCAGUGCAGACCUUAAGAUCCCCACGGAUAAGAAGCACAAGGCCAAGGCCAUACAGGAAGCCAUACGCAGUGAUCCCCCGGACAUCGCAAACCUCAGGAGGCUGGCCAUCAGCGAUGGCGGUCUACUCCGAGAUGACCUGCGACGAAAAGCCUGGCCAAAACUGAUGAACGUCAACGUGUUUGAGAUUCCUCCCAAGCCAGCCAACAUAAAAGCCCACAGGGACUACCGACAAGUUGUUCUUGAUGUGGAGAGAUCAAUGAGAAGAUUCCCAACCAACAUGAAGGAAGAACAGAGGUUAAGACUACAGGACCAACUGGUGGACAUCAUUCUCAGAGUUCUUGUCAGACACCCAGAGCUUCACUACUAUCAGGGCUACCACGAUAUCUGUGUGACCUUCCUGUUGGUAGUAGGAGAGGAUCUUGCCUUUGCCAUCAUGGACAAACUAUCAGAGUACCAUCUGAGGGACUUCAUGGAUGAGUCUAUGGACAGGACACGUCACAUCCUGGGCUACCUCAUGCCAAUAGUGGGUAAAGCCCACCCUGAACUAAGGGAAUUUCUGGAAAGGUCAGAUGUGGGCACCAUCUUUGCCCUGAGCUGGUUAAUCACAUGGUACGGCCACGUUCUCACAGACAUCAGGCACAUUGUCCGGUUAUAUGACUUCUUCCUGGCCUGCCAUCCCCUCAUGCCCAUCUACCUAGCAGCACAGAUAGUCCUGUACAGAAGUGAAGACAUCCUGAGAGUGGACUGUGAGAUGACCAUGGUGCACCACACCCUGUCCCGCCUGCCCGAGGACCUGCCGUUUGAACACCUGGUCAGUCGUGCAGGGGACCUGUUCAUCCAGUACCCACCCUCCAUGCUGGCCAAGGAGGCAGAGCUGGAGUUCUUAUCCAGCACCACAAUCAGUUGUUAUGAGGACUUUGAGAUGGCCACCAAUCAGAAACCAGAUACUGUGCUUCGGCGGCGGCGGCGAUUUGGCAACGGUACCGCACAGAACGGGGACGUGAAGACGGUACAACUCCGAAAGCCGACAAACCUGGCGCUGAAGUUUGCAGUAUGGGCCAUUUCUGCCUCCCUUGGUGCAGCUGCACUUGCUGUAGUCAAUGUAGUAAAUGAAUGGUUUUAGGUGUAUGCUCUAACAUACGCUACAAAACACAGGCAUAUGUAACUAUUAAAUCUGAAAGACCAGGAUAUAGUGAUGUCUUUCUACAUGAUCUCCAAAGCAAGAUGUGUAUAUAUCAGAUAAUCUAUGAUAUGAAAUAUGGUCUUUGUUUCAAUUGUGGAAAAUGGACGAUGAAGUGAGAGUUAACAGACAAUGCUGAAGUUCAGGUUGUACAUGUAGCUGAGAAAGUGUAUGAAACUAAAAGUUUGAUGAUGAUGGUAUCUUAGGUUGAUGGGCUGAGAGAAGACUAUCAUAAGAUGUCGACUAAAAAAGGUGGAGAAAGAGCCAUUAUGAAAUUGUGUGUUGACAAGUAUCUAAUUGUGUCCAUAUUCACAUUUGUAAAUAGUGAAAAUUCCAUUGCCCAUGGUUACAUUUUAACUGUUUGUGUUGUUGUUGAACCUCUGUAGUCUGUACUGUAUAGUUGCUAGCAUAUGAUUGAAGCAACACUGUAGCCACAACAGCAUUCCUAUGUCUUACUUGUGCAAUGAGUUUUUUGCCAUUUUUAAAAGCCACCAGUUUCUCAGAUUGUAAUCUUCUUGGGGUGGUAAGAAAAAUUUCUGUGGAAACUGCAUGUAGAUGUACUGUUACAGUCAUGUGAAGAAAGGUUCACGGUGUAUAUUUUAUAGAACUAUACAUUGUCUAAGCACAGGCAAUGUUUUGGAACCAAAGAUGUUAGAUAUGCCAUGCGAGCGGACUGGAUUAACAUUGGCAUGUGCACUAUUUAGUUUAGUUACAAGUUAAUGAUUAUUCAGAGCUUGCAACAAAGGCUUCCAGUUCCUGUUAAGUGUACAGAAUUUAACUAUUUGUGCUCCACUAUGAAAGACUAUGUCCAGACAUAAUUAUGUGUUUAACUCAAUUACAGGAUGCUGCUGUUUUAAAAUACAAUGUAUUAUGUCAUUUAAUGGUGUUUUUGUCAUUGUUGGGGUUUACACAGUCAUGCGUACAAGUAUCAUUGGCAUUGCAUAUGCUGUAUACAGUAAGUGUAUGUUUUGAUAUGUGGGAGGAAGUAAUUGUGAUACUGUCAUGCAAAUAUAUAAGAACAGGGGAACAAAAACCUCAUGUUAUAAAGCCAUUUUAUCAGGACCAUAAUUUGUGCAAUGUUUGUGUUGAAUGCAAGUGUGUGUUUAAGUAUCUCCAUCCACAUGGUAGUGAUUGGGGCCAAGUGCUUAGUGUUGUAAUGGAUACUGGAAGGACGUGUUUUUAAUGAAUCAGAUUUGGUCAACCAGUUCACACAGUAUUUUACUUAUAUGUCUCAGUACUGCAGUGAUUUU